AGGUGAUCCAACCGCAGGUUCCCCUACGGUUACCUUGUUACGACUUCACCCCAGUCAUGAAUCACAAAGUGGUAAGCGCCCUCCCGAAGGUUAAGCUACCUACUUCUUUUGCAACCCACUCCCAUGGUGUGACGGGCGGUGUGUACAAGGCCCGGGAACGUAUUCACCGUGGCAUUCUGAUCCACGAUUACUAGCGAUUCCGACUUCAUGGAGUCGAGUUGCAGACUCCAAUCCGGACUACGACGCACUUUAUGAGGUCCGCUUGCUCUCGCGAGGUCGCUUCUCUUUGUAUGCGCCAUUGUAGCACGUGUGUAGCCCUGGUCGUAAGGGCCAUGAUGACUUGACGUCAUCCCCACCUUCCUCCAGUUUAUCACUGGCAGUCUCCUUUGAGUUCCCGGCCGGACCGCUGGCAACAAAGGAUAAGGGUUGCGCUCGUUGCGGGACUUAACCCAACAUUUCACAACACGAGCUGACGACAGCCAUGCAGCACCUGUCUCACAGUUCCCGAAGGCACCAAUCCAUCUCUGGAAAGUUCUGUGGAUGUCAAGACCAGGUAAGGUUCUUCGCGUUGCAUCGAAUUAAACCACAUGCUCCACCGCUUGUGCGGGCCCCCGUCAAUUCAUUUGAGUUUUAACCUUGCGGCCGUACUCCCCAGGCGGUCGACUUAACGCGUUAGCUCCGGAAGCCACGCCUCAAGGGCACAACCUCCAAGUCGACAUCGUUUACGGCGUGGACUACCAGGGUAUCUAAUCCUGUUUGCUCCCCACGCUUUCGCACCUGAGCGUCAGUCUUCGUCCAGGGGGCCGCCUUCGCCACCGGUAUUCCUCCAGAUCUCUACGCAUUUCACCGCUACACCUGGAAUUCUACCCCCCUCUACGAGACUCAAGCUUGCCAGUAUCAGAUGCAGUUCCCAGGUUGAGCCCGGGGAUUUCACAUCUGACUUAACAAACCGCCUGCGUGCGCUUUACGCCCAGUAAUUCCGAUUAACGCUUGCACCCUCCGUAUUACCGCGGCUGCUGGCACGGAGUUAGCCGGUGCUUCUUCUGCGGGUAACGUCAAUGAGCAAAGGUAUUAACUUUACUCCCUUCCUCCCCGCUGAAAGUACUUUACAACCCGAAGGCCUUCUUCAUACACGCGGCAUGGCUGCAUCAGGCUUGCGCCCAUUGUGCAAUAUUCCCCACUGCUGCCUCCCGUAGGAGUCUGGACCGUGUCUCAGUUCCAGUGUGGCUGGUCAUCCUCUCAGACCAGCUAGGGAUCGUCGCCUUGGUGAGCCGUUACCCCACCAACAAGCUAAUCCCAUCUGGGCACAUCCGAUGGCAAGAGGCCCGAAGGUCCCCCUCUUUGGUCUUGCGACGUUAUGCGGUAUUAGCUACCGUUUCCAGUAGUUAUCCCCCUCCAUCAGGCAGUUUCCCAGACAUUACUCACCCGUCCGCCACUCGUCAGCAAAGAAGCAAGCUUCUUCCUGUUACCGUUCGACUUGCAUGUGUUAGGCCUGCCGCCAGCGUUCAAUCUGAGCCAUGAUCAAACUCU
rnacentral:rRNA from 2 species